UACGUAGGGGGCAAGCGUUGGUCCGGAUUUAUUGGGCGUAAAGCGCGUGUAGGCGGCCAGGUAGGUCCGCUGUGAAAACCCGAGGCUCAACCUCGGGACGUCGGCGGAAACCAUCUGGCUAGAGUCCGGAAGAGGAGAGUGGAAUUCCCGGUGUAGCGGUGAAAUGCGCAGAUAUCGGGAAGAACACCCGUGGCGAAGGCGGCUCUCUGGGACGGUACUGACGCUGAGACGCGAAAGCGUGGGGAGCGAACAGG
rnacentral:rRNA from 1 species